rnacentral:rRNA from 1 species
GAUGAACGCUGGCGGCGUGCCUAACACAUGCAAGUCGAACGAAGCGCUUUUUUGGAAGCUUUUCGGAGCGGAAGAGGAAGCGACUGAGUGGCGGACGGGUGAGUAACGCGUGGGCAACCUACCCCACACAGGGGGACAACAGCUGGAAACGGCUGCUAAUACCGCAUAGGCGCACAGCUUCGCAUGAAGGAGUGUGGAAAGCGAUAGCGGUGUGGGAUGGGCCCGCGUCUGAUUAGCUGGUUGGUGAGGCAGAGGCUCACCAAGGCGACGAUCAGUAGCCGGCCUGAGAGGGCGGACGGCCACAUUGGGACUGAGACACGGCCCAG